rnacentral:rRNA from 1 species
UAAUUAAGAUAAAAAAUAAGGUGAAAAUAAAUAGUUGAAUGAAGAGUUUGAUCCUGGCUCAGGAUGAACGCUGACAGAAUGCUUAACACAUGCAAGUCUUUGGCGAAGCUGUGCUUGCACCUAACCAUGGCGGACGGGUGAGUAACGCGUAAGGAACUUGCCCUGCAGUCAGGGAUAACAGACGGAAACGACUGAUAAGACCUGGUAAAGUCAGGCGGACUCAUGUCCAGCCUGAUGAAAAGAGAUGCUGCAGGAGAGCCUUGCGUCCUAUUAGCUAGUUGGUGGGGUAACGGCCCACCAAGGCGAAGAUAGGUAGCCGGCCUGAGAG